rnacentral:rRNA from 1 species
GGACCCGCACAAGUAGUGGAGCAUGUGGUUUAAUUCGAAGAUACGCGCAGAACCUUACCAACACUUGACAUGUUCGUCGCGACUUUAAGAGAUUAAAGUUUUCGGUUCGGCCGGACGAAACACAGGUGCUGCAUGGCUGUCGUCAGCUCGUGUCGUGAGAUGUUGGUUAAGUCCCGCAACGAGCGCAACCCUCACUUUUAGUUGCCAUCAUUAAGUUGGGCACUCUGAAAGAACUGCCAGUGAUAAGCUGGAGGAAGGUGGGGAUGACGUCAAGUCCUCAUGGCCCUUACGUGUUGGGCUACACACGUGCUACAAUGGUCGGUACAAAUGGGUCGCCACCCAGCGAUGGGCGCA